UAUACCUACGGGGCGCAGCAGUGGGGAAUAUUGGGCAAUGGGCGCAAGCCUGACCCAGCAAUGCCGCGUGAAGGAAGAAGGCCCUCGGGUUGUAAACUUCUUUUCUCAGGGACGCCGGAUGUGACGGUACCUGAUGAAUAAGCUCCGGCUAACUACGUGCCAGCAGCCGCGGUAAUACGUAGGGAGCAAGCGUUAUCCGGAUUUACUGGGUGUCACGGGCGCGUAGGCGGGAUGGCCAGUCAGCUUUGCCAUCCAGGGGCUCAACCCCUGCACUGCCUUUGCCACUGUCGUUCUUGAGUACUGGG
rnacentral:rRNA from 1 species